UGGUGUUGUCACAUUCUGUUUUAUUUGACUCCACUAACAUUAAUCCACCAGCUAGCCCUGGUAUUAAAAAUAGUCCAUAUUUAUCUUUCAGAUUGUCACUUAACUUGGACAUCUCUACCUUGAUUUCACAGAAAGAGCUGCACAUACAGAAGACAGAGGCAAGGCUGGGGCAAGAAUCUUCUUACUUUCUGGUUAUUUCUUUGCAUAGGUAAAGUCCAGGGAUUUAAUGCAGAUAUUCUCUUCCAUCUCCUUUAGCUUAACUUAAUCCUCAUCUGAAAAAGUCCAGUGAGGUGGGUUUGCAAGAAAAAACUCUUUCUGUUCAUUCUUCUUCAGGGCCCCUACUCAUGCUGUAAUGUGGUAUGGCUGAGACUUCCCUUCCUUGCCCUGGGAAAGAAAGGAUGUUCUGUUUCGUGAAGUAUUAAGGGACCUGGAUAGGUCAGUGCUGCUCUAUUAAUAUAAAAUGAGAUUAUUCACCAGCUGUUGUUUCCUGGCUUUCAGCAGAGCCAUUGAAACGUUUGCAAAAUAGCAGAGGGUUCCAGAUGGGAGGAGCCAUUGUUCAAAGUCCAGACCACCCAGCGGGCAUGUCAGACUCGUAAGACAUUAUCUGCAAUGGACGAAACAAUG
rnacentral:lncRNA from 1 species